UGAAAUACCUUAUGUUCUGGUGAGAGUGU
rnacentral:piRNA from 1 species